rnacentral:rRNA from 1 species
UGGGGAAUUUUGGGCAAUGGGGGAAACCCUGACCCAGCAACGCCGCGUGAAGGAUGAAGUAUUUCGGUAUGUAAACUUCGAAAGAAUAGGAAGAAUAAAUGACGGUACUAUUUAUAAGGUCCGGCUAACUACGUGCCAGCAGCCGCGGUAAUACGUAGGGACCAAGCGUUGUUCGGAUUUACUGGGCGUAAAGGGCGCGUAGGCGGCAUGACAAGUCACUUGUGAAAUCUCUGGGCUUAACCCAGAACGGCCAAGUGAUACUGUCGCGCUAGAGUGCAGAAGGGGCGAUCGGAAUUCUUGGUGUAGCGGUGAAAUGCGUAGAUAUCAAGAGGAACACCUGAGGUGAAGACGGGUUGCUGGGCUGACACUGACGCUGAGGCGCGAAAGCCAGGGGAGCAAACGGGAUUAGAUACCCCCGUAGUCCCUGAGCGGGCUGGCAAGGCGCAU